rnacentral:snoRNA from 1 species
CCUGCUCCUAGAAACACUGCAGGUGUGGCUGCCUGCUAUGUCACAUGUACAUCAGUAGGUGGCAGAGAGGAGAGACGCUACAUCUAUGUUGAGUGUUCUGAUUUGUGAAUAGAUGAAUGUUUAGUAGCCUAAGACU